AUCGGUUGGUUCUAGUCGGUGAGCCUGUGAAAACCGACCGAGUUCGUUGUGAUCUCGCAAAACAACAAGUUGGGUUGUGAGCUUGUAAAACAACCGGCUGUAAUCUUAGGGAUUAUAGUGAAAUUUCCAAGAGGUCUUGGGGAGUGGAUGUAGGUGCUGGGGUGCACCGAACCACUAUACAUCUUUGUGUUUGUGAUGCCUUAUCUUUUGUAUUUCAUGCCUUACAUUCAUACUUGAUUGUGUAGUAUCUCUAGCUUUAUUUUCUAUAGAGUUCUAAGUGAUUGUUUAGAAUUUGCUUAGCUUCCUCUCCAUUCUUACCAUACACAUAGAUUAAAAUUGAUCAUACAACUAUAAGUUAAUUUUAGAUCAAUUGCACCCUAAAGCCAUAGUAUAAUUGCUCUAGCUUAAUUUUCCACUACUUUACUUCUAAUUGCCUAGAGCUUAAGUAAAUAACAUCUUAUCAUUCCGCUGCAUUCAAUUCAAAGUAAAAAUUAGGGAACAUAAUUUUUAGAAAACCCAAUUCACCCCCCCUCUUGGCUUGUCACCUUGGGCAAC
rnacentral:lncRNA from 1 species